ACUCAAAUGAAUUGACGGGGGCCCGCACAAGCAGCGGAGCGUGUGGUUUAAUUCGACGCAACGCGAAGAACCUUACCAGGGCUUGACAUGCGUCUUACAGGCGGGGAAACCCGGUGGCCCGCAAGGGCGUGGCGCACAGGUGCUGCACGGCUGUCGUCAGCUCGUGCCGUGAGGUGUUGGGUUAAGUCCCGCAACGAGCGCAACCCCUGUCGUGAGUUAGAUGCUCUCACGAGACUGCUGGUGGCAAGCCAGAGGAAGGCGGGGAUGACGUCAAGUCAGCGUGGCCCUUACGUCCUGGGCGACACACACGCUACAAUGGCCGGUACAGCGCGCGGCGACCUCGCGAGGGGAAGCGAAUCGCUCAAAGCCGGCCCCAGUUCAGAUUGCAGGCUGAAACCCGCCUGCAUGAAGGCGGAGUUGCUAGUAACCGCGGGUCAGCACACCGCGGUGAAUACGUUCCCGGGCCUUGUACACACCGCCCGU
rnacentral:rRNA from 1 species